ACAGCAUGCAGAAAGCUGUAUUUCCUUCAGAGUAGAUACAGUGAUUUGGGAAAACUAUUGCCUAAAGCAUAGCUCACUUUAAAAUACUAAAGUUAAACAAGGACAGGUUUCAUGCAUGCUCAUUCUUGAGAAUAAAGCCAGUGUAAGAUCUAAACAUUCAUUUAACUCAGGUUUCACGUUGAGUGAAUUUUGCCCAAAUAUACUUCAGGCAGGUAUCAAGAUUUGCUUCUUGUACUUGGUGUCUGAGCUUAUGCUUAUUGAUGUUGGAGUUCUUGACGUAUCCUUUGUUCUAUGAAGCUAUAUGAAAGAAGCCAUAAUUGGUUCUUAGACAACAUGAUAUUUGUAAUCAUUUAGAAACCUCAGAGAGAGCAAUCAUUGAGGGUUUUAUAGAUAGUCAUCAUCUUUAUGAAGUGUAGGAUCUAUUUCUGUAUUGUGUGUUGGAACCUGCUGAGAAUCUCCAUUGUCCUGCUCAUCAAAACCUGCAAACUCAGCGUGGGCUCUGCUUCUUUCAAGGAUGUGUGCAUACAUCUCUUAGAAAUCAGCACUUACGGUUGUUUCAUUAGACCUCUAAUAACAUCUCUACUUCAUUUUCCUUCCAAAUAUGUUUACUUCAGGGUUGACACUUAUAAUGUCAUCUCCAAAGAAAGAGGCUCUCCUGACAGAUUUACAGUUAUUAUAAAAUAUGAUGCUAUCUGCAUACAAAUGGACAGUAGGAGCUUUAAAGAGAUUUUCCCUAUUAUUGCUGCCUAAGGAAGCAAUAAAAAUUUAACAUUUACCAUUGGGAAACACCUGCAGAGAUUAAAUUAAAACUAGAUUAUAUGCUUAUCAGUUAAAUGUUACAAAAGCAAACUCUUUAGAGAUUAACAUAAAAAGCAUUGCUAUACAAAUCUUAUUAAUGGCUUCACUCUCAGUACAAUCCAUUCUACACCUCCGCUGCUCAGCUGCUCUACGUGUGCAUCUUAUUAAGUCUUUGUGCAGCUAUACAGUGGGGAGGCAGGGCAGCCUUACUGAGGGCUCUGCUAUCCUGCUGGCAAAUGCCUAUGUUGAUAUUCAGAUUUGUCUUUAUAAGUUGACCUCAAGUACCAUUUGUCCUUCUCUUUCUGAUCCUAGCUACUUUCUGAAGGACUCUUCACAUUACACGCUGUGUUUCUUGGGCAUGAAACUGAGAUGUGUUCUGGGCUCCUGUGUGGAGUUCUGCUGGGAUUAUAUCUGGAAACCACACGUCUUUGCUAUUGAACUCUUUCUUUAUUAAGGUCAGCAGGACGGAGGAUUUUUAAAAGGCUGGGAGCGGAGAACAAGAUACUGUUGUUGCUGAUAGCAGAUACCUUUGUGCUUAGUGCUUAGUUUGUGCAACCUUUGGUACGUGGUGAACAUAUUACAGAAAUUAAAAUCUAGGAGGCAUAUGGGCUGGAGCUAUCUCUGAUCUGGAAGUUCAGAAAGCUUCUGGAUUUGGCAUUUGCUGCUGCCAGCAGUUUGUGAGGUGCAGAUAAUCUUCAGACACUGACUUGAAGAGGACAGGAUCAGCAUAGAUACUACCUGUACCCAAACUGCAUACACAGGGGUUAGAGCUUAUUUCUCCAUCUGGUAUUAUUGCGACUCCUGUAGCUCCAAGGCUUUAAAAAGCAACAGGCUUUUGGAGAAUUCUGAACCAGAUAUGGGAAUACACAACUCAGCAGUAGCCACAUCUUCAGUUACUUACACUAAGGCUCAGGCCAUAAAGAGCUUUGAUUGUGGAGAUCCAACUCGGUUUGAUGGAUCAGGAGAGCAUGACAUUGACAGGAGAUUCAGAUUGUUCGUGACGUGAUUGUAAAAUAAAUCUUGUCAUUUCCCAGGGACAAAUGCAAAGGGCCAUGGUUCUGUAAACAUUUCUCCUCUGGACAAAUCUGACCUAGGGACCCCAUGGCCAUUUUUUCCAACCACUUGCCAUAUCCUCCAUUGUGUCAGCAUAGACCUUAACGUUUAGUUAAUGUUAAGUCGGGAGCAUGGAAGGAGUCCAAUUUAAAACCUAUGAAAAUAUGGAAAACAGAGCAUUGAUCUAUAGCAGUAGGGGAUGCUGAGGUUGAAUGGCAUAGCCAAAGACUGGGGUGCAGAAAUAGCUGGAACUUGCUUUGCAAGGAAGAAGAAUGUCUGUGCAAGCAUGGCCUAACAUUUUAAGUAGUAAGUGUUUGUUGGCCCAGAUGAUAUUCACUGAAAGAGGUUAGGGAGUGUUCGAACAAGUAUAUCCAGAUCAGAGGGGUGGUAACCUCUUGCAAAGCAAUGCUCACAAGCCCCUGGGCAGACUGAGGGAGGACUCUUCUGUCAACACAGCUGGGUUUGGGAGGAGAUAUGUGUCCACAGACACAGCUCCUCGCACUGUCACAGUGUGCACCAGUCUUGCCUUACACCUCACUCCAAAAUGUAAGAUAAUGGGUCUUCCAGCAGUGCUGUAGCAUGCAGUUUGCCCUCCUAUGUAUUUGAAGGGAUGAACUGUACCUUAGCAUUUUUGUAACAGACUUUCUUUUGAGGGUAGGUGUUUGGUGACCAGCAGAAGCCAUAGGCACAUCCGAAUUCUGGGUGUGAGUUUGUUCUGUCAUUUUAUUUGGACGAAUUAUAGUAUUUAACUUGGAAUGGCCUACUCGUGUCUUUUGCUUGACUUUCAGGCUCUCAGCUGUGUGAAUUACUGACAUGGGAAUUUAAGAUGUCAUUUUUCAAAAAUGACAUAUGUUUUUGUAUGUACCUGUAUCCAAGAUGGGGAAACUACUUAACUGCAGUCUGAAUUUUCCAGUCAGCAUACUAAGUAAUUCACUCCUACUGCCACUAGAGGUAUAACAUUCUCUUGUGCAAAUACCAAAGGAAACAUUUGGUUGGAAGCCUUGCCCGUAUUAAUAUUUCAUUUUUCAAAUAAUGCUUUUAAUCUGGUGGGGGGGCUUUUUGGUGUUUUUUUGGAGGCCUCAUCUUACUUUGCCUUUUCCUGUUGGGAACUCUUUCUUUUAUUGAACUAAAGCUAACUACUUGUGAGAUGAAAUGCCACUUUGUCAUGAAAGGAUGCAGAACUGAGUGCUCGUUUAAGCUGCAUAAAAAGCUAAAUUGUAGUGUCAGUCACCAUAUUGGUCACCUGUGACUGGCUCACAUGCAAGCUUGUACCAGCACAUUUAUAAAUCUUGUUUCACAUUGCCUGUUGUUCUCCUGGAUAUUUAUGUUUAUUCUGAAAUGCAAACAUAGAAGAAUAUGAUUUGAAAUUAAUUUCUUUUUUAUCUAUUAUGACCAGCUUUCACUUAAAUAGAAUCUCCCUUUUGAAACUCAUUAAAACAUCACAAAAGUCCCAUGUCUCUGCCAGGGCUGGCAGGAGAAUCGUGGCCUGCCCUGAGGUUUAAUCACAGCUCUGUGUGCAUGCUGCUUGAGUGCAAGGCAGGGGAUGGUUCUGAACUGAGCUGUGGGGAUUCUGUGAGAAAGCAGAGGUUGACUAAAUGAAGACUAACUGCAGCCCUGCUGGAGCACAGCCUCUAACUGUUUGAAGUUGUAGCCUUUCUUUCAGAGCUUCUGACACACUCAGCAGCAGCCUGCCAGCGCCGUGCUGCAUGCACACAGGCUGGGAGCGGUGAGUUGCUGGAGGAACUGCCCACUGUGCCCCUGCACUGCUCAGGCCCAGCAGCUCUCCUGCUGCAACCUGGCAUUUCCACAUGCUGCUUUUCACCUCUUCCUCACUUUUGCCUGAUAAACACACUGAUGGCAGCUAAGAAAGGUGAGAGUGUGACAGCUUGAGAGUGAGCGUGGUGAAAGCUGGGUGCCUUGAGCUCUAGCCUGAAGUGCAGCUCUCUUCCAUCACAGCAAGCCCACAAGCUGUCUUUCUGCCAUGUUCUCCUUUCAGGACUUGCCCACCUAACUCCUGGCUCAGCAACGAGAAAUGGAAGAGCAGGAAAUCCCAUGCUAAGGGAACAGUUACAUAAAAAGGAUGAAUGAACAACAACAAAAGAGGAAGGCUGGGAUCGUAUAAUCUGAAAACUGGAACCACCUGCACUUAUGAUUUCCUGUUUAGGAUUUUGAGGUGGACAUCUCAAGGCUCAAGCCACUGGAGAAAGGUCUGGUCCUCUGGAGCUGCCUUAGCUUGUGAUCCUGUGAACGUGCUGGUACCAGAGCCUGGAUGCAAGGAGCCAUGGGACAGGCCUCUGAGUCUGAGCUUCAGCAAGCUGCAGCUUUGCAAGACGGGAAGCAAGAGUUCAGCUUGAUAACAGAUAUCCUUUGCUUUUGUUUUGAAAAUAGUAGAUGAGCAAGAGAAAUAUUAUGGUUUUAUCUGGUAUGCAGCAAGGCUUUAAGUUUGAGUUUACUUACCUUCUACGCUCUCCACAUAUCCCUUGUUUGACCACAGGUUUUCAAGCAUAGCCAUGGGAGGGUUACAGGGGUAAUUGGCUGGCAGCCAAGGGACUGUAUUUAAUUAGUGAGGAAUGCACUGGCCAUAGCAGCAUUCCCUAUAGGAGCCACAACCCACAUAACUACAGGUGCUGUCCUGCUCUCUCUUCAAUCUCGGGGACUGUUCUUCAUGCAGUACUGCAUUUAGCAGUUUGUGCCACAUAUGGAAAAGAAUAUGCUCGGUGGUGGAUGCUGCUAUCAGAGUAUUUCUGUUUUCUGUUCGUUGCUCUGCCAGAGAUGGAGGCAAUAUCUUUGGAUUUUAGGGUCCUGCUGCCCUCUUAGUCUUACUGCUGGUGAAUCCCUGACUGCCAAAAUCUUAAUGGAUUCACCUCCUUUUGUAUGCCAGUUUGAUUAACCAUUUCAGGACAGCUGGGCCUGAUCUUACCAGGUUCAUCCGGAGUUUCAAAUGAUUGAUAACUCUGAGAAUUAAGCUCAAAGUGUACCAGGCUAGACUGCCUAGAGCAAAAAUAUCCUUAGUCAAAGCCUAUUAACUGGAAUGUCUGUAUUUAACUGAAGUUCUCUUUAGAACACUGAGGCUACUUUCUCGUUUGUUGCUAUUGAAGCGAUUUGCUUUAGUGCACUGAGUUAUAAUACAUUGUUAUUAAUUUUUGUUUUGAGUAGUCUAAUGGAUAAAAAAAAACAUGUUGGUGCUGAUUUUUAAAUUGAAAAAGUUAACUUGUAUCUUUAUGCUCAUUUUAGAUAUAUAAGGUGACUGUGAGUGCUUGCCACAUGGCUCAGCAAGGUGAAAAUGAUGAUCUAUUAAAGUGAUGUUUUUUCUGAGACACUACCUUGUGCCCCCACUCUGUGCUGGCUGGGGUAGUGGGUGUUCCCCCAUGGACUGAAAUGAUGCUGAGGGCUGAAGAGUGACUCACAGACCAAAACCAGAGUCAUGGAAGGGGCUGUGUGACAUAGUGGCAGAAGAAGCCUGUUCUCUUCCAUUGUCUGGCUUAAGAAUGGCUAACUGCUGAGGGUGUGGAGAUUUGGCACUGUCCUGUAUUCCGAUCGUUUCUGUGACCACGAGGAACAAAUGCAUCCCUGAAUUACCUGGAUUUACAUCUGAUUAUUUUGAUCAGCAUGGGUAAUGGUAUCUUUACCAACCUUUGCAUUUUGUAAUGCUUUGUAAUGGGAUUUUAGCGUUCACCUGUGGUGUUGUGAAAUAACUAUUGCCCAAGGAGCUCUGAGAAACAGAGUGAGAACUGUGCCUCUGCUUAUUAUUUGAAUGAAGAGCAAGAAAAAAUACGCAGAAAGAGCCUUUGCGUGUAAAAACACUGGAAAAUAUUAUUAGCUACUUAAUUAUUACUAACUAAGAUUCAUGUUGACAGUGCAGCUUUUGUGUUUCUUGGAUCCAAUCCUGGAAGCAAACGAGCAACUGCAAGCAGACAGGCACCGAAUGCUGCCCGAUGCGCUGCCAUUGCUGUGACUGCAGGGCCCGGCUGAGCUGCCUGCUCUGAACUGAGGCCUGGUGGUUUUGAAUUCCCCCACCUGAGAGGGGAGCGGUAUGUGGUGUGGGGAUGGAGGUGUUUGUGGGGAUGGCAGUGUGUUGGCUGUGGAUGAUGUUUGGCUGUGGUUUGCCCUGCUCUCAGCUGGGUGCCCCAUCGGCACACGGUGAGGUGUGAGACCCCCACAUCCCGCCUCGCUUUGGAACUCCGGAAGACAACUGUUGCCUGACCAGAAAACCAGCAAAUGAAAGGGCUGAGGAUUUAGUGCUUAAGUGAAACCUCCAGCGGCCGGGAGCACAGCGGUUAUAUCACAGGUGAUUAGCCCCAUUGCUCCACGCCUGCUCAGGCCGCCAGGGUAGGCCGCGGCGGGCAGAUGUGGGGCGACGGCGGCUC